rnacentral:rRNA from 1 species
UACAGAGGUCUCAAGCGUUGUUCGGAUUCAUUGGGCGUAAAGGGUGCGUAGGCGGCGGGGCAAGUCAGGUGUGAAAUCUCGGGGCUCAACCCCGAAACUGCAUUUGAUACUGCCUUGCUAGAGUACUGGAGAGGAGAUUGGAAUUUACGGUGUAGCAGUGAAAUGCGUAGAUAUCGUAAGGAAGACCAGUGGCGAAGGCGAAUCUCUGGACAGUUACUGACGCUGAGGCACGAAGGCCAGGGGAGCAAACGGG